AUUUGUGAUUGUUCCAUUAGUAAAUAUUAAUGAAAAUUUAAUCAAAAUUGGUUUUCUGGAUUGUAUAUGUAAAAAAUUGAAACAUCUUUUUAAAUUAAUGAUCUUCCCUAAUAAUGUUGGUUAAUGACAAACAUCGCCAUAUAUCAUAGUUACCAUCAUUGCUAAAAACUAAUCUCGAUUGACUCAUAACUCAACAACUGAACAGUUUGUAUAUUUGAGCCAAUUGGCAUCAUUGUAGAGUUAUAAUACAAUGGUUAUUCCGAUUAUCAAUCGUAAUUGAUGGCGUUCUUACUCGUCAUAAAUGGAUGCAUCGUUAUUAAAAAUAUAGAUAUUACAAAAGUUCAGAAUUUAUUGUAGAAAAUACUGUUUAGGAUGGAAAAACUUCAACAUGUUAAAUAAAGAAUAUCAAAAUACAUUGUAACAUUUAUUUCUCAGAAAGGAUUCUGUUAGAAAAACAAAAUGGCAUUAACUGUAUCUUUUACUUAAAAUAGAUUGUCAAAGGAAAAGACUGUAAAAUAUACGCGUUACAGCUUGCUUGUUCAAAAAGCAGUCCUUUCUGUUUUAGAAUAUGACAACCCCAUGAAUAUAAAAUGAAAAUCUGCAAAAUCAUUGAAUGUCAUAAUCACGUAACAAUAGUAUUAACGUGAGCAAUAAAUCUUACAGUAUGAGGGACAAGUAUGAUCUUUCUUACUUUUAUUGGUAGAAAUAUACUGUAAUGUUAUUGUUGAAGUAGACUACAAAACUAGUACGGUACAAAAUUAUAACAACCUUUAUUUAUAUGUUUUAAAAUAUAUUGUUUCCAUUUAAAAUAUAUUGUUUGACUUUAGUAUUGUAAACUCAUG
rnacentral:lncRNA from 1 species